CCCCGCCCUCCCUUCCUCUUCCUCCUUUCGCUUUCGCGCGCCCAGCGAUGGCUCGCGCCUGCUAAGAGGCCCCGAGCGCGUGCAUCUGCCCCGCGGCCGCCGCUCGGCAGCAUUUGCUCCGGGGGGCGGGGACGGGCGGGGAGGAGGGGCGCCACGCCGCCGGCCAAAGUACCGGCGGACGGGCGCGGGGGCGGGUCCGGGGGCGGGGCCUCCCGGAGUCGGCUCGGCCAAUCGCCGCCUUGCCUCGGCCGGGCCGGCCCAAUAGGUUGGCGGUGAGUGGGGCGGCGUUCAAGAUCCCACACCUGCUCGCUUUUCCUGCUUCCGGAGCCCACGCUGGACCCCACCCCCACCGCGUAGACUGCCUGGCACCAGCCAGACCCUCCCCCGAUCCAGCGCUGGUCUCCGGGUGUGCCCGCAUCCGCCCGCAUCCGCCCGCUCCCACAACCCCCUCUACCUUCUGGCCUUCCCAGCCUCCGGCCGCAGUGGCCGUUUAGACGGGCGCUCCCUUCUCGGUUACUCUCCUUGUCUGCAGUCCUGGAACGGGGUUUGACAGCCCUCUCCCCUCCGAAGAUGAGAUUAAAAGAGGAAAGACUUAAAUCAU